rnacentral:rRNA from 1 species
GACGAACGCUGGCGGCGUGCUUAACACAUGCAAGUCGAACGGAAAGGCCCUGCUUUUGUGGGGUGCUCGAGUGGCGAACGGGUGAGUAACACGUGAGUAACCUGCCCUUGACUUUGGGAUAACUUCAGGAAACUGGGGCUAAUACCGGCUAGGAGCUCCUGCUGCAUGGUGGGGGUUGGAAAGUUUCGGCGGUUGGGGAUGGACUCGCGGCUUAUCAGCUUGUUGGUGGGGUAGUGGCUUACCAAGGCUUUGACGGGUAGCCGGCCUGAGAGGGUGACCGGCCACAUUGGGACUGAGAUACGGCCCAGACUGCAACGGGAGGCAGCAGUGGGGAAUAUUGCACAAUGGGCGGAAGCCUGAUGCAGCAACGCCGCGUGCGGGAUGACGGCCUUCGGGUUGUAAACCGCUUUCGCCUGUGACGAAGCGUGAGUGACGGUAAUGGGUAAAGAAGCACCGGCUAACUACGUG